AUUGAACGCUGGCGGCAGGCCUAACACAUGCAAGUCGAACGAUUGGCGGACGGGUGAGUAAUGUCUGUGAAACUGCCUGAUGGAGGGGGAUAACUACUGGAACCGGUAGCUACUACCGCAUACCAUCAGCUCUGCCCAGAUGGGAUUGGCUGGUUGGGGGGGAAACGGCGCACCACGGCGACGAUCCCUAGAUGGUCUGAGAGGAUGACCAGUCACACUGGAACUGCGACACGGGCCAGAAUCCUAUGGGAGGCAGCAGUGGGGAAUAUUGCACAAUGGGCGAAAGCCUGAUGCAGCCAUGCCGAUUGUAUGAAGAAGGCCUUCUGGUUGUAAAGUACUGUCAGCGGGGAGGCGUUACCAGCAGAAUAAGCACCGGCUAACUCCGUGCCAGCCGCCGCGGUAAUUC
rnacentral:rRNA from 1 species